UACACAUGCAGUCGACGGUGAACACGGAGCUUGCUCUGUGGGAUCAGUGGCGAACGGGUGAGUAACACGUGAGCAACCUGCCCCUGACUCUGGGAUAAGCGCUGGAAACGGCGUCUAAUACUGGAUAUGUGACGUGACCGCAUGGUCUGCGUCUGGAAAGAAUUUCGGUUGGGGAUGGGCUCGCGGCCUAUCAGCUUGUUGGUGAGGUAAUGGCUCACCAAGGCGUCGACGGGUAGCCGGCCUGAGAGGGUGACCGGCCACACUGGGACUGAGACACGGCCCAGACUCCUACGGGAGGCAGCAGUGGGGAAUAUUGCACAAUGGGCGCAAGCCUGAUGCAGCAACGCCGCGUGAGGGACGACGGCCUUCGGGUUGUAAACCUCUUUUAGCAGGGAAGAAGCGAAAGUGACGGUACCUGCAGAAAAAGCGCCGGCUAACUACGUGCCAGCAGCCGCGGUAAUACGUAGGGCGCAAGCGUUAUCCGGAAUUAUUGGGCGUAAAGAGCUCGUAGGCGGUUUGUCGCGUCUGCUGUGAAAUCCGGAGGCUCAACCUCCGGCCUGCAGUGGGUACGGGCAGACUAGAGUGCGGUAGGGGAGAUUGGAAUUCCUGGUGUAGCGGUGGAAUGCGCAGAUAUCAGGAGGAACACCGAUGGCGAAGGCAGAUCUCUGGGCCGUAACUGACGCUGAGGAGCGAAAGGGUGGGGAGCAAACAGGCUUAGAUACCCUGGUAGUCCACCCCGUAAACGUUGGGAACUAGUUGUGGGGUCCAUUCCACGGAUUCCGUGACGCAGCUACGCAUAGUCCCC
rnacentral:rRNA from 1 species